rnacentral:rRNA from 1 species
AUGCUUGGUAGGGAGUUCGGCCUAAUAUAUGCAAGUUUGCUGGGGCUGAAUUUAAGAUGUACCGUGCUGACAAAUAUUCUUGUUGGUUUGUCGAGACCUGUGCGUGAGAACACGAGGAUAAAGUUCGAUCGCCAGUCCAAUGAGAGCUAUGAGGAGAAAAGAACCAGGAUUAAUGAACUAUACAGGGCAACAAACACCCAGUCUAAAAGAAGGGAGAAAUGGAGAAGGGUUGUUUUCCUGGUGAAGAUGAUUGACAAUGGAGCAGAGUUUGAAUACAAAUGUGUGUUGUUUGAACAUAUGAGCAUGUUAUGCUGUCAUGUUCUUAAGAUAUGCACAAGUAAAGAAAUUGUGAAGCCGGUCAUUAGCCCAAUCCUGGGAGCUAAGUUAUACUAUUUUUUUGCAUGA